rnacentral:snoRNA from 1 species
AGGACUAUACUUCCAGGAUCAUUCCCAUAGUUCGUGACCACAGAAGUUUCUCUGACCAUGUAGAGCACUGGAAAUCUCGAGGAGGAGGCCAGCGUUGUCUCCUGAGGUGAAGUUGGGUCUUCGUGUGACGUGACCGCAACUGUCAUUUGCCAUAGAUAAUCGUUCUUGCUUUCCAUCUGGGAAACAAGAGGGAGAGGACGCAGUCUGAGUGGA